GCGGGGCGUGGUAGCACACACACAUUCAACCCCCGAGGCUGGGAAGCAAAAGCAGGCAGAUCUCUGUGAAGCUGAAGCCAGUGUGGUUACAUAAGGAGUUCCAUGCCAUCCAGGGCAAGGUCAGAAGAAGUGUUGGAGCCCCUGGAACUAGAGCUACUGAUGCUUUUGAGCCACCAUGUGGAUGCUGGGAACCAAACUCCCGACCUCUUCAAGAGGAAGGGUGCCUCGCUUACUGGCUAUUGCUCUGCUAACACCCUGAUCAAAACCAGUUUGGGGAGGAUAGCUUAUGUGUCCUGAUCACAGUCCAUCACAGAGGGAAGUCAAGGGAUGAAAUGUGCUCUCUGCUUCGUGACUGUCAGGGCUGCCUCCUGCUCCAGCUACCAUGAAGGAUGCUAUCCCUCCAGAACUAAGGAAGAUGUCAGUUAUUCAUAACAGGAGUGGUGGUGCUGUAACAGAACCAAGACCCGAAAGAAGUACUUGUGACUCUCGAGCACAAGCUCUUUCCCACAUGGAAACAUCGCCACCGCACUCAUGCUUCCGCGGAAACAGCCGGAAAACAUCGUGAGCCUGUGGGGAGCAUAACCCUUCAGGGCCAGACAUCAAAUCUGCACAAAUAAUGUCUUUGAGGAAAUCCUUCUGAAAAACAAAGACUUUUUUUUUUUUUUUGGUUUCAUGUAUUUAAUCUACUUAAUAUGACCUUUCAAGUCUUCAUGAAUUUUUCUCAUGGUAGCAAACAUCAAAAGUCAGAAGUCUGCAAAUGUCACGAUUUCCUUGUUUUUAAAUGCUGAGUAGUAUCCCAUUGUGUAGAUGUACCACAAUCUCUGUAUCCACUCCUCAACUGAGGGGCAUC